rnacentral:antisense_RNA from 1 species
CUCUAUGGCGGGCCGUAUGGGGAGACCUUCGGGUCUGCCGGUCCUUUGGUCCCGGUCUGCUAACCCCGUGCGGUUCCGCCUCCAUU